rnacentral:rRNA from 1 species
AUUGAACGCUGGCGGCAGGCCUAACACAUGCAAGUCGAGCGAGAGGCGGACGGGUGGGUAAUGUAUGGGCAUCUGACCGAUGGAGGGGGAUAGCUACUGGAAACGGUGGCUAAUAACGCAUACUAUCGGCUGAGCCCAUAUGGGUUUAGCUAGUGGGUGGGGUAAAGGCUCACCAAGGCGACGAUCUCUAGCUGGUCUGAGAGGAUGAUCAGCCACACUGGAACUGAGACACGGCCCAGACUCCUACGGGAGGCAGCAGUGGGGAAUAUUGGACAAUGGGCGAAAGCCUGAUGCAGCCAUGCCGCGUGUGUGAAGAAGGCCUUCGGGUUGUAAAGUACUUUAAGUUGGGAGGCGUUACCCGCAGAAGAAGCACCGGCUAACUCCGUGCCAGCAGCCGCGGUAAUAC